rnacentral:rRNA from 1 species
UGUGCAUAUUUCCAAAGCGGAGGAAAAGAAACCAACAGGGAUUGCCUCAGUAACGGCGAGUGAAGCGGCAAAAGCUCAAAUUUGAAAUCCCCCGGGAAUUGUAAUUUGAAGAGAUUUGGGUCCGGCCGGCAGGGGUUAAGUCCACUGGAAAGUGGCGCCACAGAGGGUGACAGCCCCGUGAACCCCUUUAACGCCCUCAUCCCAGAUCUCCAAGAGUCGAGUUGUUUGGGAAUGCAGCUCUAAGUGGGUGGUAAAUUCCAUCUAAAGCUAAAUACCGGCGAGAGACCGAUAGCGAACAAGUACAGUGAUGGAAAGAUGAAAAGCACUUUGAAAAGAGAGUGAAAAAGUACGUGAAAUUGUUGAAAGGGAAGGGCUUGCAAGCAGACACUUAACUGGGCCAGCAUCGGGGGCGGGCGGGGAAACAAAAACCACCGGGGAAUGUCCCUUUGGAGGAUUAUAACCCCGGCCUCAAUUUCCUUGUCGCCCCGAGGCCUGCAAUCUAAGGGCACUGCAGUAUCGGAAG